UUGCGCAGCUUGGCUGUAUUAUCUAGGAUCCCACCAUCAUAAAAUCAAAGUGUCAGUCAAGGUGAUAGUUUUCACUUGGAACUUAGGAUAUUCUUUCAAGCUUACCUGUUGUUGACAGAAUUCAGUUCCUUUCUGUUGUAGGACUGAAGUUCCCAUUUCCUUGCCAUGUGACCCCUUUCAUCACGAAGCUAACAGAGGUUAGAAGAUUGAGGGCCAUGUGUGAAAAAGAUUUCAGGAGGUCUUUUGGAUGUUUAGGAACUGAAAACAAGGAUGCUGGCUGACAGCCAGUGAAGAAUGGAGACCUCAGCUCUACAACUGCAAAGAAUUCCGCCCACAAGUUCUGGAAGUUGACCGAGAUUAGCUCUUUGGUCCUCCUAUGUUGCUGUCACGUAGUAACCAUGAGUCACCUUGAAAGCUGCUCACACGUGUAGUGGUUGAUACUGAUUGUUACCUGAGAUCUUAGGUGUGGCGGUCAGCUUAAACACCUACAACUGACUUCUGUUGGCUUUGGAUCACCUCACAGCCUGGCAGCUGGAUUCCAAAAGCUGAGAGUUGGAACUAAGAAGUGACUUAUCCUUGGAAAUCAUCCAGCUCACCCUGCCAGAUUCUAUUUGCUAAAGAUGUGGAAACUGAAGCACAGUGGGUCAAUUUCCUUCCAGAUGUCAAGUCUGACCUGGUACUGAGAGUCUAGUCCUUUGCUAGAAUCACUGGAAAGAAAGUACUGCAAAGACUAGUUAUAACAGCCAGCACAGCAUCGGGUCCUCUAAUUUAUGUGUUAAUGUGGUGCUCUGGAAGCUUGAUGUUAAAAUGAUGAAUAUCACCUGGGAAGAAGAUUGGACGAGAGCAAAAGAACUGGCAAGUUGCCUUGUGGAAAUAGCUUUCGACUUUAUCAAACCAUGGGGUAACAUGUCAGAUUAUAUUACGUAUAAUUAAUUAUUAAUGCAGGCCGGGCCUUAGUUUGAAAAGCACAAACAUGCACUUCGAAUAAUUUCCUUCCCAUGGAAAAUCUGUUGUGUCCCUCAAAUUGAGCAGCAAAAUACCCCUCACAAAAUACCUUAAAGCUUUCGUUUCUCCAGAUUUAGCAUGCAUCUGAGACAAGAAAGCUUUCACAAGCCUCCUUGCCAUGGACAAAACAGAGAUGUGUUUUUGCUUAAUUAAAAUUCUUUUUUGGCAACAGAUGUCCUUGCAAAAAUAGCUCAGAGCUCGGUGAAGCAUUUUUAUAGGCUGGAGUUCAGCGACUAGGAGCCCGUCAUCUGCCUUCUCCGCUCUGAGAGCAACACAAGAGACCAGGUGGCUGGUCACAGUUUGAAAAGUGAACAAAUGUAUUUAUUCACUCUGAGCAAUUUGCAACCCACUGGGAGAGCAGGAGCCCUCUCCCAGCCCUUAGCUCCUGAGAACUAGGACUGUGGGAGAAAGGGGCUGUUUAAUUGCUUGCACAGUCUCUCUCACUAAAGCAAUUAGCACCCAGAGGAAAGUCCGGGAGAAGAACACAGCCAGGCCUCACACCCAUAUGGUGGCCUGAAAUCAGCCUGCCUGCUGUCCAGGCACACGGAUGAUUCAAUCAGCGAUGCAGCCACAGGCCCCAGAGCUCUCCUUCCUAGUUUCUGCUGGGGAAAUCUUGUCUUCCUAUUCCUGAGCUUCGGAUAGGCUGACGAACUAGUGUAUAGUGGGUAGCAGCUCCUCAGCUUCACACCUAGUUAACUCUACUUGGAAAAAGAAAAAAAAAAAAAAAUUAAGCUUGAAAACUAAAAAAAGACCACCUAGAUCUGUGCUCAGGA